rnacentral:rRNA from 1 species
AGUCGAGCGGACAGAAGGGAGCUUGCUCCCGGACGUUAGCGGCGGACGGGUGAGUAACACGUAGGUAACCUGCCCCUUAGACUGGGAUAACUCCGGGAAACCGGAGCUAAUACGGGAUAAUAAAGAGAAUCACCUGAUUCUCUUUUGAAAGACGGUUUCGGCUGUCACUAAGGGAUGGGCCUGCGGCGCAUUAGCUAGUUGGUAAGGUAACGGCUUACCAAGGCGACGAUGCGUAGCCGACCUGAGAGGGUGAUCGGCCACACUGGGACUGAGACACGGCCCAGACUCCUACGGGAGGCAGCAGUAGGGAAUCUUCCGCAAUGGACGAAAGUCUGACGGAGCAACGCCGCGUGAGUGAGGAAGGCCUUCGGGUCGUAAAGCUCUGUUGUGAGGGAAGAACAAGUACCGGGGUAACUACCGGUACCUUGACGGUACCUCACCAGAAAGCCACGGCUAACUACGUGCCAGCAGCCGCGGUAAUACGUAGGUGGCAAGCGUUGUCCGGAAUUAUUGGGCGUAAAGCGCGCGCAGGCGGCUUCUUAAGUCUGAUGUGAAAUCUCGGGGCUCAACCCCGAGCGGCCAUUGGAAACUGGGAAGCUUGAGUGCAGAAGAGGAGAGUGGAAUUCCACGUGUAGCGGUGAAAUGCGUAGAUAUGUGGAGGAACACCAGUGGCGAAGGCGACUCUCUGGUCUGUAACUGACGCUGAGGCGCGAAAGCGUGGGGAGCAAACAGGAUUAGAUACCCUGGUAGUCCACGCCGUAAACGAUGAGUGCUAGGUGUUAGGGGUUUCGAUGCCCGUAGUGCCGAAGUAAACACAUUAAGCACUCCGCCUGGGGAGUACGGCCGCAAGGCUG